rnacentral:rRNA from 1 species
AUUCCAGCUCCAAUAGCGUAUAUUAAAGUUGUUGCAGUUAAAAAGCUCGUAGUUGGAUUUCUGACAGGGGGCCGAACACCACUGUAGUGAGUGUUUUGGAACCUGUCAUCCUUCUGUUAACCCUAGCGUCAUUCAUUUGUCGUUGGGCGGACCAGAUACUUUACCUUGAGAAAAUUAGAGUGUUUCAGGCAGGCCUAGCCGGAAUACAUUAGCAUGGAAUAAUGGAAUAGGACUAUAGUCUCGUCGUUGGUUACGUGGACUGCAGUAAUGAUUAAUAGGGAUAGUUGGGGGCAUUAGUAUUUAUUAGCUAGAGGUGGAAUUCUCUAAUUUGAUAAAGACUAACUUAUGCGAAAGCAUUUGCCAAGGAUGUUUUCAUUG